AUAUGCAGAGCAUAAGUGGGACAGAUGUGGCGCUCAUCACAACAUCCUCUCAAAGCCUCUGAGAUCUGAUUGGAUCCAUGUUGUGUGAGUCAUGUGAAUCAGACAGGGUUGGCUGGUCCUGUAAAGAAGCUUUGUGUUUGGCUUAGCAGGGCUCACAAGAAGAAGAAUCCUAGUGCUGAGUAACCCUAUACACUCUUACAUACUGGAUCCAGAUUUCCAGCGCUGGAGGUCUGUGGUGAACCACCCACUGCUGGCAGCGGUCUAACCCGGCUGAGGCAGCGGAUGGGGUGGGUGUUGAAUCUAAGGCUCCCGUGGAGAGCACUGGAGACCAGACCAGCCCUGCUGAAUCAUGCUAAAUGAAGAUGAAACCGUGCUGGACUGCUGUGUUUGUGUGAAAGUGCAGCUGUGUAGGUAAUACUAGUUCAGCUGGACCUCUCAGUGCCCUGGUUUGGGAUGUUUGUGUGUAUUUCCUCAGGUGUUUUCCUGCUUUGAUGCUUGAUGGAAAGCUCUUUAUAACAUCAGUAAACUUACUGAGCAUCAAUUCAGCCUGUGAAUCCACAAAGAUGUCAUUUUCCUGCAACUGUUUCAUGACAAUUGCAGUUUCCAUGAAAUUCUGUUCCCGCAUAUGACAAAGUGCGCAGUCGACAAGGUUAAGGAGAAGAAACAGAAUCUCUCAAGUGAGCACGGCCAACAAAUCGCUCUGUGUAACUCUAGCUCUCCAUGGCUACUCUUCGGGCAGGAGGGGAGAAGAUGUGAGGGGUGUGAUGAGGUCAAUCCCCUGGUGCCUGAUAGUGAAACUGAAAAAUCAUGGAGAAACUAUGGACUUAUGGCACACACUACAGCAUUUCCUGUACAGUCUCUGGAGUAUUGAGAAAACUGCUUUUUAGGUCAAGAAGGUUAUGACCAGAAGCCUGUUUUCUUGGAAGAGUAAAGCCCACAGCACAACAGAAUUCCAUCCUUAGGGAUUUUGGGAAGCAGCACAGCAGACCUGGAUAGCCUGGGAAAUUGGAGGAGGGAGGCAAUGGGAGGUCUUAUCCAAGAACUUUCUUAACAACUCAGUUUGAAACCCUAAGGGAUGUUUGUGAGAAAUUAUCAACAGGUACUGAAUCAUCUCAUAUUGCAAAAGACCAUUGUUGGGUCUCAUAUUUGGAAAUUUUGUGACUUUCAAAGUCCUUUUCUCAAGAGUUUUUAUUUUCAUUUGUAUUACCAUCAACUGCAUCUAUUUGUAUCUUUGUAUAAAUUGAUAAAUUAAAUCUGACAAUAGCUUUGGCGUCUUCCAAAGAUGCAAAUUUAACUAAUGUGCAAAACUGGAAUAUCGCAUAAAACAUUUGCAAAUGUAGCAACGUUUCCAUACAACAAGAGAGAACAAAAUUGUCACUUCCUGAUAAACUGGCACUAAAUAUCACUAGGAAAGGUAGGAGAAUGUAAUAAUCUUCAUAUAUGUGACCCUGGACCACAGGGUGAAUUUUUUUAAACUGAGAGGUGGAUGCCUGCAGUCAUAGAAGACAAUUAUACAGAAAUACUUUGCUCAGGCCUUUCAGAAUGACCAAAACUACUUUUUAGAUACUGCGCAACAAGAUCAGAAAUUUUUUUCUUACCGGAUAAAAAGCUUAUCAUACUUAAUUGCGCGUAUACAUUUUUUUAAUGCUCAUUUUUUAGAAUUUAUGCACAUUUUGGUGUUUCCAUCCAGCAUUUUUUAAAAUACAGUAUUCCAAAUGCGCAUACAAAUACAUGUAUGUCAACCAUACAAUUGCUAUUCUUUUCAUUUUUCAUUCAUCAAAGAAAAAAAAGUGUAGCUGCCACACAAAAAAAUAUCAAGCAGCACACGAUUUAAACUGAUCAUAAUUAAAGCUGCAGUAGGUAACUUUUGACGCUCUAGCGGUUAAUAAACAGAACUGCUUGCGUCUUGCGGAAGAACAUCGUAGCCGGAACUACUUCUCUCUAUUUAUGUCUAUGAAGAAUCACAAAGGUACUGGGUUACUCCGCCGCGGUACGCCUGAAGCAAUCUAAAUUAGUCAGAAUAUAAACACUUAUUAUAGGUGCACCCUAGUGAUUCAGGACAAGCUAAAAACACAGUUUAAAAUGGAUUCAUGGUGUACUCGCUUAUUAUAUACAUUUUUCUACAUUUUGAACACAAACAAGGUUACGGACCGCAGCUCUGAUUGGUUGUUUCUUAACGGGAGCGAUGUAUUUCUGCAAAUGGCAAUAGGACCACUGGGAGGAGCCAGAGGAGCUUGAUUUUUUCACAGAUUAUCUGUCUCAUAUUCUACUGUCAGGACAUAAUGACAGGUUUAACAAAUAUGUAAAAAAUAUAUUUUUACAAAAGUUACCUACUGCAACUUUAAAAAAUGUUUCUUAAGAACUAUAUCAGCAUGUUAGUAUAGCUUUUUCACCACUCAAAUUUAUUUAAAAAUAUAUUUUUAUAAUAUAAUUUUAGUAUAAUAUAAUUUCAAAAUAUAUUCAGAUACAAAGUGGUUUUAUUUGUAGAAAAAUUUAACAGUAUUACCAUUUUCACGGUAUUGUUGAUUAAAUAAAUGCUGGAAAAAUAACUAGGCCUAUAUCAAUAAAGUUGCCGGUAUGCAAAAUAAUGCUUAAAGAUUCAUUCAAAUUUCUGAGUUGCAAAGAAAAAUAACUAUCAAAUGAGUAAGAGUAAGAGU